GGGAAUGUGGCUCAGUGGUAGAGCACUUACCUAACAUGUAAGUGCAUAGGUUUGAUACCCAAUCACA
rnacentral:tRNA from 1 species